rnacentral:lncRNA from 1 species
AGUGUAAGGUCUAUCGAUGUUAGAAAAUAAUGACUCUCAAAUAUCAAACCAAUGAUGUUAGGCUAAUGCAUGUUUUCAUGUUAAUCUGGAUGGGCGAGAUUUAUACCUAUCAGUCUAAUUACAGUGUUUGAACUUGUAACGUGGCUGCAUGAACUUCUAAAGCCUGUCCCAUGAUUCCAAGUUGAAACAGUUCACACAUAUAUUAUAACAAAGGUUUUUUUCUUCGUUUUGGUGGGGUUUUUCGGCUGUUCCUGCACACAUUGUUUUUCUUGAGGCAAGUCGAUGUUCGGUAACCGAAGUCUAUGCCCUUUUGUUGGUGAUUGGUCAACAGUACUACUAAUGACAGCUCCAAGCCUCAUCACCUCAUCGCCUCUCAUCCUAGCGGAAAUCACCUACUGUCUUCUCUUUCUACAUCUCUGUGGGAAUUGAGGAUGUCUCUCUCCAUCAAAGCAAAAUGAUGGUGAUGUAUUGUCCUGGAGGGAAGAUCUAUCCGCUGCAUUCAACACCGUG